UUGUCAUUGCGGCUCCGACUGGGAACAACUUUUCCUAUGAACUCCACAAAUUUUACAGCAUGACUCCGAUUAGAGAAAAAAAAAUCAAUUCCUUGAUCCAUUUGCUUAAUCAUUAUAGCACGAGAAGCAGCAUCAUGCUUAAGAAUAAGCUGUUCCAAAUAGAAGAAAGUUCGCCUGUGAGUAACGUGCUGCCGAAGUUGCACUGCAGCAAUCCACUGAUCAGGAUUUGCCUGAACCCUCGUACAAGCUUCACACAUUUGGUCUUGGAUAACAAAUUCAACUGUGUAGGCCUGCUCAAGGAUAGCUCCGUGAAGAACCUCUUUCUGAACCUUCAACUUGACUUUGAUUCUCUUGGAGUGAGGUUCAGUCCAAAUGAACUCUGCCUGCACUAAACGGACUUUAUUCAAAUUCUUCAACCUCUUCACACAG
rnacentral:misc_RNA from 1 species